GUGCUUGCUUCGGCAGCACAUAUACUAAAAUUGGAAUGAUAUAGAGAAGAUUAUCAUUGGCCUUGUGCAAGGAUGACACACAAAUUCGUGAAGCGUUCUGUAUUUUU